CCUGCAAGUCGAGCGGACUCAACAGUUUCCUUCGGGAAACCGUUAGGUUAGCGGCGGACGGGUGAGUAAUACGUAGGUAACCUGCCCUUAAGACUGGGAUAACUCACGGAAACGUGGGCUAAUACCGGAUAGGCGAUUUCCUCGCAUGAGGGAAUCGGGAAAGGCGGAGCAAUCUGCCACUUAUGGAUGGACCUACGGCGCAUUAGCUAGUUGGUGGGGUAACGGCUCACCAAGGCGACGAUGCGUAGCCGACCUGAGAGGGUGAUCGGCCACACUGGGACUGAGACACGGCCCAGACUCCUACGGGAGGCAGCAGUAGGGAAUCUUCCGCAAUGGACGCAAGUCUGACGGAGCAACGCCGCGUGAGUGAUGAAGGUUUUCGGAUCGUAAAGCUCUGUUGCCAGGGAAGAACGCUAUGGAGAGUAACUGUUCCAUAGGUGACGGUACCUA
rnacentral:rRNA from 1 species